rnacentral:rRNA from 1 species
UACGGAGGGUGCAAACGUUGCUCGGAAUCAUUGGGCGUAAAGCGCACGUAGGCGGCCUGUUAAGUCGGAUGUGAAAGCCCCGGGCUCAACCCGGGAAGUGCGCAGGAUACUGCAGUGCUUGAGUGACGGAGAGGAUGGCGGAAUACCCGGUGUAGAGGUGAAAUUCGUAGAUAUCGGGUGGAACACCUGUGGCGAAGGCGGCCAUCUGGACGUCAACUGACGCUGAGGUGCGAAAGCGUGGGGAGCAAACAGG